rnacentral:lncRNA from 1 species
UGUGCUGCACUGAGCGCCAAGACAACGGCACUAGCGAGCUGAGCAAGGCGCUAGGGCAUGAUCGAGCAGAGACCAGCCCGGAGGCGCUGGCAGAGGCGCUGAGAGAGGGCUGGUGCAAGGCACGAGCAGAGAGGUGCUGGCAAAGGCACUGGCAGAGGCGCUGAAAGAGGGCUGGUGCGAGGCACUGAGCAGAGGUGAGUGCUAGGCACCCUGUAGGGUAGAGGCGCGAGACACCGAGCAGAGGUAGAGGUGUGAGGGAUUGGAGUGCUGGUGGACUGGACAGAGGUGCUGUCCAGAGGCAGGCAGAGGCGAUGCUGAGUGCUGGGCUGUGAGAGGGCUCCAUAGCAGAGGGAGAUAGCCGUUAGGACUUUGGCCGAGGAGGCUUGGUCGAGGCUGAGCUUCAACUGAGGACAGUGAGAUCAGAGGAUGUGAUCGAGUAGAGACUGGCCCAGAGGCGCUGGCAGAGGCGCUGAGAGAGGGCUGGCUUGAGGCACCAGAGCGCUGAGUGAGGUGCUGGUGCGAGAGAGUGGAGCGGCCCUGAGGCGCUGAGAGAGUGGUGCAAGGCACGAGCAGAGAGGCACUGGCAGAGGCGCUGAGAGAGGAGAGACUGCGAUCAGAGGCCGUGAAUGAGGUGCUAGGGCGUGCGAGACCCUGCAGAGACUGGCCAGAGGUGAGUGCCGGGCGUAGAGGCACGAGGCACCGAGGGCUGGCCGAGCAGAGACUCCAUUGGAGCAUUGAGUGAGGCGCUACUGUGAGAAGGUGCUGGCAGAGGCGCUGAGAAGAGGCACUGAGCAGAGACAGAUUUCUGUCGAGGAUACGACAGAGUGUUUGGAUGCAGAGGGAGAGUGAUCUCAGAUUCAUGUCAUCGAGAUCGAGAGGGAGUGUUGAGGUAUACGCUCUCUAUGACAUGAUCCUAGGUGGCAGGAGUGCCACUUCACUGAGCUUGCGCCUGUUAGGAUCAGGGAUGCGGGCGUCAAAGAUCCGGAUGUGCCCUAAAUUUGGACGUUUCAAGCCUGUGCUCCGGGUGUGCAAACGGUUACGCAAGUACACCGUCGUGUUCACUGCUUCUCCCCAGAAGCUGUGUGGCAGUCCGGAAUGCAGAAGAAGGCAACGCACCAUAUCCAUGAGCGUCCGGUUCAGCCUCUCAGCCACACCAUUCUGUUGUGGUGUAUAAGCAGCCGUGUACUGAUGAGAAAUUCCUGCCUCAACUAAGAAUUAGAGAAAUCCUUGUGCAAUGUAUUCUCCUCCUUCAUCUGUGCGUAGCACACGGAUCUUUCUUCCUGUAAAAUUUUCUGCCCAACUUUUGAAAAUUUUGAAGUUUUCAAAAACUUCGGAUUUGUUUCGUAGCAAACACACCAGUGUAUCGUGAGUGAUCAUCUAUGAAUGAAACA